rnacentral:snoRNA from 1 species
AGCUUCCCUUUUCCCUGGAACCUGUACUGAUCUGGGUGGUCCUAAACGGAGGAACAGUAACAUUGAAGCUGAACUCACAGUGCUUUGUAGCAUGCAUUAGUUUCAAUUUCCU